UACGUAGGCAGCAAGCGUUGUUCGGAAUUACUGGGCGUAAAGAGUGUGUAGGCGGUGCUCUAAGUCUGUCGUGAAAUCUCCCGGCUUAACUGGGAGGGUGCGGCGGAUACUAUUGUGCUAGAGGGUGGGAGAGGUAAGCGGAAUUCCUGGUGUAGCGGUGAAAUGCGCAGAUAUCAGGAGGAACACCGAUGGCGAAGGCAGGUCUCUGGGCAUUAACUGACGCUGAGGAGCGAAAGCAUGGGGAGCGAACAGG
rnacentral:rRNA from 1 species